ACAGGGAUUGCCUCAGUAACGGCGAGUGAAGCGGCAAAAGCUCAAAUUUGAAAUCUAGCACCUUCAGUGUUCGAGUUGUAAUUUGAAGAAGGUAACUUUGGUUUUGGCUCUUGUCUAUGUUCCUUGGAACAGGACGUCACAGAGGGUGAGAAUCCCGUGCGAUGAGAUGCCCAAUUCCAUGUAAAGUGCUUUCGAAGAGUCGAGUUGUUUGGGAAUGCAGCUCUAAGUGGGUGGUAAAUUCCAUCUAAAGCUAAAUAUUGGCGAGAGACCGAUAGCGAACAAGUACAGUGAUGGAAAGAUGAAAAGAACUUUGAAAAGAGAGUGAAAAAGUACGUGAAAUUGUUGAAAGGGAAGGGCUUGAGAUCAGACUUGGUAUUUUGCGUUCCCUUCCUUUUUGGUUGGGUUCCUCGCAGUUUACUGGGCCAGCAUCGGUUUGGAUGGUAGGAUAAUGACAUUGGAAUGUAGCUUUACUUCGGUGAAGUGUUAUAGACUUUGUUGAUACUGCCUAUCUAGACCGAGGACUGCGUCUUUGACUAGGAUGCUGGCGUAAUGAUCUUAAGCCGCCCGUCUUGAAACACGGACCUCCUGUGUGAAGUGAUCCGCUA
rnacentral:rRNA from 1 species